GUUGAGUUACUGUGCUUAUAGACAGUGGGGUGACUGUUUUGCCCUUCCUUGUUGCUGCUUUCUUCUGCAUUCUUUCUCUCUCUUCAGCAUGCUAUAUCUCUCUCCUCCAUUAAAUUAACUUCUUUAGCGAGCAAAGAAGUGGCCGAAAUUAAAGAACACCGUCGUCAUCGGAACCUUCUCUAGCCACAUUAAUCGAACAUCGAAGAAGGCAAAGUUGAAUCUCGGGAAUCCAUCCAAAGAUCGAAACAAUUUCAACCAAAAAGCAAAUUUUAAAUUCAGCAAAACCUAAAUAAAUGCAGUUAGAACGAAAUCGAAAAUUUAAACCCUAGCUUUUCCACUAAAACCUUCAAGAAGAAGCUAAAAUCACAGAUUUGCAUGCUUCAUCGUUGGAAAUCAAGCUUCCAUAACCAACAACAGGAGGAGAAAGAAUCGAUGAAAAUCAAAACCCUAAUCAGUUGAAAAAUUCGGCGAUUCAACUGCGAUUCAAACACUUUUUAUCCUCCCUCCUGAACAAAUGAGAUGAUGAAGGGAUAGAGAGAGAAAAUGGGGGGUUUUGGGAGGAGAGAGAAAGAGAGGGGAUUGUGUAAUUUUUGGUUUUGGGGAACCGAUGGAAUUCAGCUAAACUAGGAGAAGAAGGAAAGGUCACCUGAAUGGAGAGGUCGAAGUGCGCUUCACUCGAUUCGGCGGCAACACAAUCCGGCGACAACCCGAACGGUGGCGAUGUGAUAGAAUUGGCGCUCGAUUUCAAACUUGCAAAUGAUCCUAAACUUGCUUUACAAGAUACUAAUCGCUAGAAGUAAUCAUCGAAAAUCCAAGAAGAGAAUGUUUGCUGGGAGUAGUAGCAACAAUAGUGCGUCGUUCAAAGACCCUAAUGUAAUUGAAAUUCCGCGUCCUACUACUUGGAAAUCGAAGCCAAGAAAGCAAAAUUCGUGAAUCAAGAGUCUUCUACUUGAAGAUGAAGGGAGAUUAUAUCAUUGUUAUAUGGCUGACUAUAAAUCUGGUGAUGGAAGGAAACUGCUGCUGAAGAUACUAUGAAUUCUUACAAAACUGCUCAGGAGUCUAGAUGGAAAGGGUGGGAAGAGAUAUCUUACGGAGGUUAUGAAUGCGUUAAACAUGCAAGAGCAGCUGAGUAUCUGCCUGAAAGAAGUCUGCAAUGAAAGUAUUACCUCAAUAGCGGCUGGAUGCCAAGACAUAAGGCUACGCAUGGAUGGACUAUUUGAGGUUAAGGAGCAUGCAAUCAAAUUUGUCAGAGAAUUCACUGCUUUAUAUACAAAUGGGUGAAUUUUUAACUUUUUACUUUAGUAGUUCAUGUUUGUCCUAUGGUAUAACAAGUGGCUCACAUUUGUAGGCUCAGCCUCCGAGCACAACCUCUACGCCUACAGCUGCUGUGCCUGCACCAGUUGCACCUCAAACUCAGACGCAGACAGCUACAGAACCUGCUGCUGCAGCUUUCGUGAGUCCCUUGACUGAUGCAGUUGCUGCUUCAGGGGACGCAAAUGUCUAUGGCUAGGUUGCAUCUAAUUUAGUUACCGGAAGCAAUUUGGAGAGCACCAUUCAGCAAAUUCUUGAUAUGGGUAGAGGAAGUUGGGACAGGGUUACUGUUGUUCGUGCUUUGCAUGCUGCUUAUAACAACCCUGAGAGGGCUGUCGAAUAUUUGUAUUCUGUAUGUCUAUAUACUACUGAUUCAUCAUUCAUGCUCCCCCCUCCCACUUUAAUUCAUAAACGAGCAUACACCGUGCUUGCUUCACUCUAAAAUUCUUGCAAAGAUGUUAAGGUUCGGGAUUAUCUUUGUAAAUCCAUCUUGUUACUACAUUUGACUUUAAUAGUGCCUCUUAUUUGGUUCUUUUGAUAAAGAAUGUUCUGCUUCGGCAUUGUGCCAUCAAUUGGACUUUGUUAUGAUUAAUUUACUGCAGCUAGAGGUUUUAUUUUUUAUUUGUUCUUUAUAUAUCUACAGGACUGCUGUUUUCUCCAAUUGAUGUUGCAGGCUUUGCUGUCAUUUUUAUGGUUACUAAUUUUCUCCUUGAUUCUUGCUGAUAUAGAAUCUUGGUUUAGCUUUAUAAGGGAAUUCCUGAGCAAGCUGGAGUUGCUCCAGUGGCCAGAACUCCUGCGGCUACUACUGGUGGGCAGGCUGCAAAUCCUCUUGCUCCUGCUGGGAAUCCUCAUGGUUAGGUUGGCAACCCUCUUGGUUAGGCUUCUCAAGCAGCUGUACCAGCAAGUGGUGGUCCUAAUGCAAGUCCAUUAGAUCUCUUUCCACAAGUAUGUCAUUUGGCUGUUGUCAUUUGUAUUGCUAAGAAAGUACAAAAAGAGCUUCGAGGUUUAGCAGGCAACAAGGGUUAUGUAUCACCAGAUGAUUAGCCAAAGCUCGAGUAUUUUAAAGCCAUGGUCAAAGAAACAUUUAGGCUCCGUCCUGCAGUUCCAAUGCUAAUAGUCAGGGAAACACUCGAAAAAUGCACUAUAUAAGGGUACGACAUACUACCAAAAACCCUCGUG